rnacentral:ribozyme from 1 species
AUAAAAGAGAAAGUGAAAACAAGGGUCUCCUGAUUGAAUCGAAGAGAUCUUUCCUUUCCUUCACUUGGUCUUUCUUUUCAUUGAUCUCAUGCUCACAUAAGAGAUCAAUUAAGAAAAGAAAACGACCAAGUGAAAUGGGAAAGGAAAGGUGGGCCCAGAGACAGGAUCAUGCCUUCAUCGUCUUCUCUCUUUCUAUAAGAAGAGAAAGAAAGAGA